CUCGGUUCAGAAGCAUACCAUUUGACUUCAUGCUCAAAGUUUGCUCAGAUUUAUUAAUUAGUAAGGUCAUGUAAACUAGCGAUAUAAAUCUGUUUACUUUACACAUAGUUUGAAUUACCUAAUAAAUGUGGGAUUCGCUGCUGGAUGGAAUGGUUAAUGGUAAACAGCAUUGAUGCAUUUAAGGAGAAUUAGUUAAUUAUGUGGGAGAAAGGAAUGGAAAAUAUAAUGAUGGGAUCAGCUCAUCUAAAGUAGGAGAAGACUUUUGCAAAGUAUAAAUGUCCAGUAUUGAUUUGUUGGGCUGAAUGGUCAUUUUGUGUUGUAAAAUUUAAUACAUAAAUAUAGAAUGAGGUGAGGCCUUACUGAAACGUAAAAAAUCCUAAGAGGGCAUUACAGGUUAGAAGUCUGGAAAUUUCCACUAGUGGGAGAAUCUAAAAUGAGGUGAUAUGGUUAAAGGAUUCGAGGGCAGUCAUUUAAAACUGAGGUGCAAAGGAAUUUCUACUCAUGGUUUGUGGUAAAUCUAUGGAAUUCUCUACUUUAAGGGUUGUAGAGGCCAGAUCACUGGAUGUAUUGAAAGAGAAGAUAUUUUUUUGAAAGUUUAGUGAACUGAGAUCUGUGGAAAACUGCCACAGAAAAAGAUUUAAGACUUGGGCACAUCAACCAUAAUUAGAUUGAAUGGCAGAACAGGCUUAAAAAGCUGAGUAGUCCACUCCUCCCCCUCUGUUGCUAAGUUCUUAUGUUCCAAAGUUUUGAACAACAAUACACUCAAACUCCAUAUUUAGUUGCUGCUAAACUGAUGCUGUUACAUGUCAUGCAUGCAGACUGAGCCAUUCAACCUGAGGGCACCAGGUUAACAUGUCUGAUUUGUGCAUCGCAGGCAAAGUCAGCAUUUAUCUUCCAUUCCUAAUUGCGCUUGAGAAGAUCCUGAUGAGACACCUUCUUGAAUAACUACAUAACUUCUGGUGAAAUAAAGGACACAACAUGCUGCAGUAACUCAGCAGUAACUGGGAUAAACCUGUCUUCAAGCGGCAUCACGAUGGAUUCAGCAACCGAUCACUAAACAGCCAAGAACCCUAUCACAAUGGAGUCCUUGCUCUUGGUGAUGAUGGCAUGGUUAGGCUUUUUGUGUGGAAUUUAAGUCAAUACUAUCUCCUGCUUGGUUCCCACCUGUUUAACUGCAAUCAUAGUGAUGGCUUGCUCUUUAUAUAUUACAAUCUAAUAUCUAAUUGUUCAAUACAAAUAAAAUAGUACAACUGCAGAUAUUUAUAUUGACACCUUUCCAUAUCUUAUUGAAUGCUAACCUUGUGCAUGGUUCGUUUUUUGGCUUCUAAAUGCUUCCUCUCCUUUGAAUUAACUUCACACUUUGUCUAGUUCAGAGAAAUGACAGCACAUUUUGCUACGGUGGCAGCACCAAAAUAAUGUGACUUGGGAGCUUCAGUUGAAAUACAACUUUUAAUCACAGUUUCAAUGGAUGGUAAAACCUUCUUACUUCCUCCGAAAACAUUAUAAUAGCAUUUAGGUAACACCACCUCCCCAAGCUAAUCGGGAUGUACAAGUUGGGAACUAUCACCGAUAAGCAUGAAAACUUGUAACACAGAAUGGGCCCCUUUUGCACUCACCAAAAAACAGAAUUAACAGUGAAUAUUGCAACAAUUUAUUCAUCAAAUAAAUACAAAUGAUCCAAAGUAAUAGGAGUCCUGAGAAAUUAUCAUGACAUAAAGAACCAUUUCCCCUUCAACAAAGCAAACAAAAUCAAAUAAUCUGAACCUAUUCAUCACAAAUUAUUAUAAUGUUUAAUGUUUACCAGUAAGGGAAAUCUAAAUGGCCAUGUAAUUUUUCCAAUUACAUCCCUUACAUUUUAUAGGAUCAUUACUCUGUUUCUGUUGCAAUGAUUCAGAUGGCCAAUGUGGUAUGGUGCCCAAUAUUGAUGUAGGGAUUACUCAUGUACCAACAGAGAUAUUUUUAUAACUAGGGCCAUGAGAGUCACUGGAUUCAUAUCAAGACAGACUUUAUUUGGUCCAAAAUGUAGAUAGGGAUUGUGUAUAUGGACCGUUUAGUUUCAUCAAUAGAUUUAUGAAACAAAUUGAUUUUCUUAUGAUAACAUCACCAUAAUCAACGAUCAAAACCAAUUUGAACCCAUCCAUCCCAAUCAUUUUGCAGGAUAUACAUUCUGAAAGAAUAAAAUAAAUUCAAGGAAUCAACUCCGAAACUCCAAAUGACCGAUCAUCCAAAAUCUUCAAAAGGAGCAGAAAAUUGAAAUACACUUUGAAAAUGAUGCUAGUAUGUUUUAACAGGAAACUCAGUCAAAUGAGACAAUGACUUUGCUUUACAGUGGUGAGAGCAAGACUGCAAGUUCUAUAAAAACAAACUAUCUAGCAAUGAUGUUAUCAGGCCUGCUGAGGACCACAGGAUAACUAUACUGCCACAAGCAUUGAUAAUUCCCAUUACUACAAAGAACAACAGGAAUCGGCACAAUGAUUGAAAAGGAGUAAAAUGCAAAAGCGUUUGUGUAGAAAAUUAUUCUAUCAGAAAGACGGAAUAUGUAAAAUUCCAGUUUGUGACUGCGGGGCUACUAGAACUAUAUGCAGUACUCCAAAUGCGGCUUUACCAAUGUCAUGUACAGCUGCAACAUAAUGUCCUAACUACAAUACUAAAUACCUGACUGAUGAAGGCAGGUGUGCUGAAUGUUUUCCUCACCACCCUGUCCACCUGUGGCACUCCUUCAUGGAUCCAUGUACCAUCACCCUGGGUCUCUCUAUUCUACAACACUAUCAUGUGCCUUACUAUUUGCUGCAUAAACCUGCCCUGGUUUGCCUUACCAAAUGCAACACCUUAUGUUUAUCUGAAUUAAACUCCAUUUGCCAUUUCUAGGUUAAUUGGCCUGUUGAUUAAGAUCCCGUUGUCAUUGUGGAUAACUUCCUUCACUGUCCACUAUAUCAUCAAAUUCAAUGUCAUCCGCAAACUUUCUAAAUGUGCCACCUGCAUUCAUAUCCAAAUCAUUAAUAUAAAUAGCAGACAACAAUAGAUGCAGCACUAUGGUACAUCACUGCCCUCUGUCUCCAAUCUUGAAGCUAAUUAUGUAUCAAAUUAGCUCACCCCGGAUCCCAUGUGAUCUAACCUUCCAGACCAGCCUACUAAGGAGCUUUUCAAAUCAACCUGCCAUGCUCAUUGAAUGAACUUAAUUUUCUUAAUUAAACUUAGGCGUCACUUUGGGGAAGGGGAAAAUAUGGGGUCAUAUAUUAGAGCUGGUCUACAUUUUCUCUGUUCAGCCGGAUUUAAUGACACACAUCAUGUCUGGUCAGAUGGGUCAGAUGUAUAUUAUGAUAAAAUAACAGGGAUUGGAAUGUGUUGGACCAUAGUGGGCCGGCCAGGCUUAGAACAUUAUCGAGGUCAAGAUGAUUUGCUUAGUAUCAUUAUAUGUACCCUCUCCUCCAUGAACAAUAUUUGGAAUUUCAACCUGAAACAAAUCUAGAAUGUG